rnacentral:tRNA from 1 species
AGCCUCGUAGUGAGUUACACAUCAGAUUGCAAAUUUGAAAACGCUUCCUUUAUUGGUGCCGGGGCU